UAGACGGGCUAGAAUAGUCAACUCUUUGGACACUCGUAAACAGGUGGUGCAUGGUUGUCGUCAGCUCGUGUCGUGAGAUGUUGGGUUAAGUCCCGCAACGAGCGCAACCCUCGUUCUAUGUUGCCAGCACGUAAUGGUGGGAACUCAUAGGAGACUGCCGGGGUCAACUCGGAGGAAGGUGGGGAUGACGUCAAAUCAUCAUGCCCCUUAUGUCUUGGGCUUCACGCAUGCUACAAUGGCCGGUACAAAGGGCUGCAAUACCGCAAGGUGGAGCGAAUCCCAAAAAGCCGGUCUCAGUUCGGAUUGAGGUCUGCAACUCGACCUCAUGAAGUCGGAGUCGCUAGUAAUCGCAGAUCAGCAACGCUGCGGUGAAUACGUUCCCGGGUCUUGUACCCCCCGA
rnacentral:rRNA from 1 species